rnacentral:lncRNA from 1 species
AAACCACAAGCAGAGACUCGGAGAAGACGGGGCACGACCACUGUGACGUCACAUCCCUUAAUAAUUAUAUUUUUACACUAUACACGUUUCACAACUAUAAUUUGAACACCUGUGUACCAUAAAUAAAUAUAUUUUUACACUAUACACAAGUGAAUCAUGUUGUGUCAUUUACAUGACGGGUAAAUUAAAUGAACAUGUCUUGAUUAGGUAUGACAUACUUUGGACAAGGAAGAGACCUGCAGAUAAAUAACACAAUUAAACAAACAAGUACUGAAAUAUAAGUGUUCCGCAUUAAGCUUGCUAGUAAGGAAAUUAUCAGGAGAUGGCUUGCUAGCUUUCACCUCUAGAUCACCCCCAUGGCAACUUGAUACAUCAGAGCAAGAAAACAUUCCCCAAUGGUUACAAACCUUCGGUGCAAAAUGACAUUCAUGGGAUCUGAAGGCAUCACUAAGAAAUAUCAGGUUCUAUAUGAGUCUGACUUAUUAAAGAACAAAGAGCAAUGAAGAAAAGUGCAGUACAUUAAAUCAAGGCCAAAUGAUACAUUGCAUGCAUCAGCGAGCAGAAAAAUAAAUGGUGUCUAAUAUUAUAUUUUCCCCUUCCAAUAGAGAGACUCCUUCUACAUGUUUAACCAGUGAUUAAUUCCGGUUACACCAAAUAAACAUAGUUCUAAAUGCUACCAACAUUUUUUAUGAAACAAAGGACAACCAAAAUUAACUCCCCUCGCGUGGAAACUUGAUGUCCUUUCAACUCUGAAAUUCCACCAAAGGUAAGCAUACAAUAAUUUUAUAGUGUAUAAUUAUACAAAAGAAGAACAUGUUACGUGUGUAGAUAGCGCAAGGUGGCAUAUUAUCAUUGAGAGCAUAUAUUAGCACAUAGUGUGAUGAAAAUUGGAACCAUAUGUACUGUCAGCAUGUCUUUCUCCUUAUUCUGUAUAUCAUCAUUUCCUCUACACUUGACAUGAUAGCUUGAGAAAAAAAAGAUGAGUAUCCAGAUAUGUACAUAGUUAUGGCUAGAUUCCUUGUUUUGUCCAAGAAAGAUAAGUCAUGAGCCCAUCAUCUUAUUACAGCAAGGCACAUCUCUAUCAGUGGUGCAAGAGGUGUAAAUUUUAUAUUUUCUUUUCAAGAAAAAACCCCUGGCAAUAUUAAACAUCAUGAUGUAACAAAUUACAAAUAUUAGUGUUAACAUAGGUUAAUAUCUAUUACUUAUGUGUGGUGCAGUUCAAUAAACCAUGAAAAAAAUUUGAAUUAUUCCUAACUAUCACCAUCAGAUCUAGGUCAAUAAAAGUUGUAGUCACAGCCUGAGCCAGAACUUUGGAUUGAGAAGGGAUUGGGAAACCCUCAAAGGAAGGAAGAAGCUCACCAAAACACAGUUACAGGCCCCAACUAUCUCAACCUUGCGCACAAAACGGCUUAAUGACUCAUAUGGGAUCAACAAGAGUGCCAGUCGCGUAAAGCUUGUUCAGAUUGCCAAGGCCGUCCACUUGAGAGCAAGACAAAAACUUAAAAUUAGGAGUCCGAAUGUGGUUAGACAAGCUAUACUAAUUUCAUUUUGAUUUUGAUCCGACAUGUGCAUUAAACAGAGCAUGGACCACGAUUGAACAGAGCAACCGCUGCAAAAUAAAUGUAUAACAAGAGCUGGCAGCAUCAACAUGUAAUAGGCAUGUAUAUUUAUCUACGGGUUUUGUCGCUAGUGAACGCAUACAGUUGCAAUUGCACUUAUGCAACCUAAAGGCGAAAGAAAAAAACCACUUGUUAACCCAAAAGACUGAAAAAGUCGUAACAAAAGAAGAAAAAAAAUAGCCUUCCUAAGUUCUCUAGUUGGGUGAAAAAAACCAGCUAUUCUAAAAGUGAGCACCAGAUUCCAGUAUGUAUCAUGCAGUUUUCUGUAUAUGGUUCACACAUGAAAAAGGGAUUUUGGCCAGUGCUAGGACAUGGCAUUUGUUGCCUGAUAAAAGAUUAGUUCAUGCUAUCUUCGGGACAAAGUGAGCACGUGAGUUACCAGACGAGAAGGGGAGGCCAUGAGUAAAGGUGGACUGAAACUUCUUGCUCGCUUGGAGCUUCAUGAAUCUGAUCCAUAGAAAAUUAUGUAAUCAUUUGAAAUUAGUAUACUAAAAAAAUUGAAGGUACAUUGCAGAAAUGACACAUUAGCAAAAUUGAGUAAUGCAAAACCGAACCCACCAUAGGAGAAGCAUAGAAAAAAAUCAUCUUCUGAACCCACCUACAGAUCCAAUUUAUAUGCAUCAUGCCAUGGAAUUUCCGAAUGCAUGGCCGCAGCCGCUGGCUGCAACGUCGGCCCAAUGGUGCUUGUCCGGGCGAAGUACAAGGCCAUUGGGCUCGUCGCCCGGGAGUUCUGCAACCCACAUCAGUUUCUAUGACUAUAGUUUCUACUAUUGUACUCUUUGUAGUUUUUAAUGCAUAAAUUAAUCUAAUGUUGGGAGCUUUCCAAGGACUAACUAAGACAAUCAGAAUCGGAGAGGAGAGUUUCUCAACAAAAAAAAGAAUUAGAGGAGAGUCAACUAACCUUCCUUCUUGCUUCGUCACCCCCUCAUGGGUUAUGAGCUAUGACGACCAUGAUGCCGGCCGUGCGUCCGAGCGCCUGUGGUCUGUACAUCGACGACCUGCCCUUUUCUCAUUUUUUGGUCACCGAAGAGUUCGAUCGAUCAGAAACAUGGAAGGGCGAGAGUAGUCAUGUUCCUGCCCUGUGUGUGUUUUCUUUGCGCGAAAGUUCCUGUUUCAGUCAGAGAGGUAGAACAAUCAGAAAAUGAGAAGGUCUUUCACUUCCUUACAGAAUGAAAUUUCUGUCUUGCAAGUUUACAAAGUCAUCAAGUUAAGCACUUACGAUAAAAUUAUCUGACUCAGAAAGCUGAUAUCACUCAUACAAAAAAACAUGUUAUACAAUAUUGAGUUUCGACAUAGCUAUCAUAAUAGAUCUAUGCAAAAAUGUUCAGGUGCACGCAGGACAGCUAUACAAUUUUAGCAAGAAUAACAAUUUUACAUGAAAAAUGCCUGCAAGCCUGAAAGCCCAUUAUGUAAUUCCAGUACUGAAUCAUUCAGGCCCUUGUAAUGUUAUUUGAGAUUAGGUUCAUAAUAUUUGAAGGUGCAUGGUAAAGAAAGGAAAAUAACAUUACUUCCAAUGAAAUACUCUCCACAUUGUUCGUACUUGCAUUACUAUCAUGUUGGCAUGGACAUUGACAAACUGAAUCAAUUAGCCUGUAAAAUUUAUGAAUAGAUUCGGUUCUCUUCCUCUUCAUGUCUACAUGGAUGAAUCUGAAAUAUUCUAAUUAGUUUCUAUAAUUAGUUCCUAUGGCUAUAGUUUCUACUAUUGUACUCUUUAUAGUUUUUAAUGCAUAAAUUAAUCUAAUGUUGGGAGAUUUCCAAGGACUAACUAAGACAACCAGAAUUGGAGAGGAGAGUUUCUCAGCAAAAAAAGGAAUUAGAGGAGAGUCAACUAACCUUCCUUUCUUGCUUGGUCACCACCUCAUGGGUUAUGAGUUAUGACGACCAUGAUGCCGGCCGUGCGUCCGAGCACCUGUGGUUUGUACAUCGACGGCCUGCCUUUUUCUCAUUUUCUGGUCACCGAAGAGUUCGAUCGAUCAAAAACUUGGAACGGGAAGAGUAGUCAUGUUCCUGCCCUGUGUGUUUUCUUUGCGCAAAAGUUCCUAUUUCAGUCAGAGAGGUAGAACUCUGUGUCAGCAGUUGUCUUGUCACUGCAAUUUUAAAUGACCGGCAAUAAAGGUUGCUGCUUAAUUUUAGAAUGCCGUAAGUUUUCCACCUGUAGGUGUAGCAGCUAACAACUUUGAACCAUACUGAAUAAAGGAGUCAAAAUGGAAUACUUUUUGACCUCACAAUGCCUAUGAAUUUCAAGUAGCCAUUAUUUAAACACCAGACACAUUGUCCAUGCAAAAAGAGGUGAAAAAAAAUCAAAUCUGAACUGAACUUGACAGAAUUCAUAAGUUGUAUAGCUGACAAUGGGCCAUCAUAUACAACAAGAUAUAGUAAGCAAUGCAACAACACACAUGUACAAAGGGGUGAACAUGCCUAAUUGGUACUUUAAUUUAACACAUCGAAUCAUUGAGUGGUGCUAGGUCUAGUUACACAUACAGAGUUUAACAUCAAGUGGCUAAGUUAGCAAUGUCUAGCACGAAGUUAGGCAUGUGACCUUCAUGGGAAGAACUGGACAUACCGGGCCAUACCAACCUGCUUCUUCCCCCCUCUGCGCUAGCUCCAAGAUGCAUGUCUCGUCCUGGUGGAUUAACCGCGACCUCGACCACUUCGAUCCGCCGAUGCUCGGCACCGCUACCAAGAACCACCAAUCAGUCCUUGCUUGUGUCCAUGGUGAAGAUAAAGUCGCAGAAUGCAGAUCUUGGCUAACCCACCGACCACGCACACAUGCGUUGGUACGGCGCUCCGGGCGUGGCCCGACUUGUGCAGCGCGCUGAACCUUCCUCGCACGGUUCCUACACCUGCCAAGGCCAGCUGCGCGUGCCCGCACUUCCUCGGCCUCUGCUUGUUCCUGUGCCUAGCCGUAAACAUCAUCAGGUGUGUAAC